CCACUUACUCACACUCCUCUCCUACCUCUCCCCCACGAAAUCCUGCUCCACCUAGCUACCAUGGCCGGCCAUGGCCAUGGGAAGCCUCCAAGAUGAAGCUCUCCCCCUCCCUCAAGCUCCUCCUCCCCAUGAGAGCAUUCCUCUCACUCUCUUCUCCCCCCCAACCCUAGCUGGUUUCCUCUCCUCCUUUUCUUCCUCCAUUGCUAAGAUUGGAUCUUGAUGCAGGUGCAUGUUGGUCCAAGCAUGGAGAAGGUUGAGCAAUCCUCAGAUCUGAAGUUCUUGAGCAAAAUCCAAAUCAAGUGAUUCAAAGUUCCUCAGAUAGGUAUUGAAAAGAUAUACAACUUGGCGUUGGUCUCAUCCUCAAAUUCGUUACGGAUUUUGCAUGAUCAAGAUCUGGUCAGAUCUGACUUUGUCGAAUUAAACCAGGAGCUUGGGAACGAAUUUUUGAAUGAAACCAAUUGGGGGAUAUUUGGUUUAUACCAUGGUGAUAACCGAGAGAGGCAAUUGCUAAGUUGUGAUGCACUCAUACCUUUACUAGAUGCGAACAAUUCCGGAGAAGAAGAAGAAGGGGAAUCGGAUGAGAAGAUUAUUUAUAUUGUUGGAAUUCUUAUAUUGAUGGAGUUGAAGAAGUACAGGGACAAAUAAGCCAAGGCAAGCCAUCUUUUGACCUCUGAUUCGGUGUCUAGUUGGAUGUCAUUUGUUGAUGUCCAAAGCACCUUGGUUCUAUGUGUGUUGUUCUCCUUAUUAUUGUCAUAUAUGUAUGGUUGCUAGUGGAGUACUCCCUAGUGGUGAUACUCCACUAUUGUCUUUGUGAUUAUGGGAUGCAUGGUAUCAUGGCCGUGCUAUUCCUCUUGGUUAUCUUGUAUGCUCGACUUGAGCAUGUUCCAUCUCAAGAUAAUGACUUACACUACACCCACCACUUUUGUAGUAUAGAGGUAUCAAUGUCAUGAUCUUGGUGUAUUCUCAACUUGAGAGGAGUAUGCCGUGUACCCAUUGGAGAGUAUGUUGGAUAGUGAUAAUCCACUAUCUAAGUUGUAUAUUUAGCACCACAAAUCUGAAAGUAUAAUCCUCCUUGUGUGGUCAUAGUACAUGCUUACCUUAAGCAA